CUUAUUCAACACUUUCCUCGUGGACACCAAGACGCACCGCCAAUCAAAACAAUACUGCUCAAAUUAUACUCUGAUCAAUUAUGGACUCUUGUGUAUGGCACUAUACUGCCUGAUAAACUUUGUGUCUGUGUCUCUAUAGGAGCACGCGAGUGUGGUGUGUGUCUGAAUUCGCGGUGUUCAAUGAAUGUGUGAGCAGCAUGAGGACUCGGGCUUAUAUUGAUGUAAGCUUUCGUAUAUGUGUCUGGUAGAGUAUUGGGUGCACCACAACCUCGGUCGCCUGCCAGCCUAAGUUCAUUUUUGUGUGGUUAAUGUGGGCCAUGUUAUUUUGUUUCCCAACUAGAAUGCAACUAACAAAAACAACAUCUGCCUCAAACAAACAAAUGUGUGUGCUUGUGUUGUUAUUGGAAAUAACAAAUGAAAAGAAAAAAAACCCAUACCAAAAAAAACUGAGACUCAAACUCUGCGUGAAACAUUGAAAGGUUGGUGAAGUGGUAUGCCGAUUUUAGAAAAGAAAAGCUAUCUAGUGUUUAGUUUCUCAUGUGCCCCACCGAAAAAAGUGUUGUGUAGGCCGUAUGAUUUUUUGUAAAAAAAGAAGGAUUUGUAUAGGCAUUGCUGACAACCGCAACCACCCGCCGUCUUUACCAAUGCAAUUGCCAUGGCUCAGCAGGAAAUCAAUAACUUCGAUAUUAGUACAAAUUGCUGCUUGAGAUUUUAAAAUGCAUUUCAAAAUAUGCGGCAGGAAGUUAACAACUGCCGUUUCAAUUGUAAUAGCUAUGCAACUUAAAUAAGAAUGAUCUCUUAUGUGUUGUCAUCAUCAACGUCAAGUUAGUUUUUUCGCCCCCACCUGGUGCUAGAAUGACACUCGUCAUUAAUCAUUCCCUCAGCAUUUGCCUGCGUUCUGCUCAUCCCCAACCCCUAGCCCAAAAUUACAGAAUCGUGUGGUCCUGUUGGGAGUAUGUUCACCACUAUUGCUGUCUGUUCCCGAACAACAAUUUAAACGGGUUGGAAUGGUGUUCACUUGCUUUCGAAUAAAUGUAGUGGCCAGAGAUUACGUUUUUGGAAUACGAUACGUGCAAUGCUGGACUUUUGAACAAUAUGCCGACAAAUCAAUACAAG